rnacentral:tRNA from 1 species
GCUGGGGAUGAGGCUCAGUGUUUACAGCACUUGCCUAGCAUGCGGGAAGCCCUGGGUUCCAUCCCCAGCUCAGCA